rnacentral:rRNA from 1 species
GAACUGAAGAGUUUGAUCAUGGCUCAGAUUGAACGCUGGCGGCAGGCCUAACACAUGCAAGUCGAGCGGAUGAGAAGAGCUUGCUCUUCGAUUCAGCGGCGGACGGGUGAGUAAUGCCUAGGAAUCUGCCUGGUAGUGGGGGACAACGUUUCGAAAGGAACGCUAAUACCGCAUACGUCCUACGGGAGAAAGCAGGGGACCUUCGGGCCUUGCGCUAUCAGAUGAGCCUAGGUCGGAUUAGCUAGUUGGUGAGGUAAUGGCUCACCAAGGCUACGAUCCGUAACUGGUCUGAGAGGAUGAUCA